rnacentral:rRNA from 1 species
AGUCCCGCAACGAGCGCAACCCUUAUCCUUAGUUGCCAGCACGUAAUGGUGGGAACUCUGGGGAGACUGCCGGUGAUAAACCGGAGGAAGGUGGGGACGACGUCAAGUCAUCAUGGCCCUUACGGGAUGGGCUACACACGUGCUACAAUGGCGCGUACAAAGGGCAGCGAACCUGCGAAGGUAAGCGAAUCUCAUAAAGCGCGUCGUAGUCCGGAUUGGAGUCUGCAACUCGACUCCAUGAAGUCGGAAUCGCUAGUAAUCGUGGAUCAGAAUGCCACGGUGAAUACGUUCCCGGGCCUU